GCGGCAACAGCUCAAAUUUGAAAGCUGGCCUUCUGGUCCGCAUUGUAAUUUGCAGAGGAUGCUUUUGGCGCGGUGCUUUCCGAGUUCCCUGGAACGGGACGCCUUAGAGGGUGAGAGCCCCGUACGGUUGGACACCAAGCCUCUGUAAAGCUCCUUCGACGAGUCGAGUAGUUUGGGAAUGCUGCUCUAAAUGGGAGGUAAAUUUCUUCUAAAGCUAAAUACCGGCCAGAGACCGAUAGCGCACAAGUAGAGUGAUCGAAAGAUGAAAAGCACUUUGAAAAGAGGGUUAAACAGCACGUGAAAUUGUUGAAAGGGAAGCGUUUGCGACCAGACUUUUUCUAGGCGGAUCAUCCGGUGUUCUCACCGGUGCACUUCGCCUGGUUUAGGCCAGCAUCGGUUUCUGUAGGGGGAUAAAAGCCUGGGGAAAGUAGCUCUCUCGGGAGUGUUAUAGCCCCUAGCAUAAUACCCCUACGGGGACCGAGGAUCGCGCUCUGCAAGGAUGCUGGCGUAAUGGUCGUCAACGACCCGUCUUGAAACACGGACCAAGGAGUCGAACAUUUGUGCGAGUGUUUGGGUGUUAAACCCUCACGCGUAAUGAAAGUGAACGGAGGUGAGAGCCCUUACGGGUGCAUCAUCGACCGAUCCUGAUGUCUUCGGAUGGAUUUGAGUAAGAGCAUAACUGUUCGGACCCGAAAGAUGGUGAACUAUGCGUGGAUAGGGUGAAGCCAGAGGAAACUCUGGUGGAGGCUCGCAGCGGUUCUGACGUGCAAAUCGAUCGUCAAAUCUGCGCA
rnacentral:rRNA from 1 species